rnacentral:rRNA from 1 species
UACGUAGGGAGCGAGCGUUGUUCCGGAUUCAUUGGGUGUAAAGAGCUCGUAGGCGGCUUGGUAAGUCGGAUGUGAAACCUCCAGGCUCAACCUGGAGUCGCCAUCCGAUACUGCUAUGGCUAGAGUCCGGUAGGGGCCCACGGAAUUCCUGGUGUAGCGGUGAAAAUGCGCAGAUAUCAGGGAGGGAAACACCCGAUGGCGAAAGGCAGUGGGCUG